GUGUUUAUUUACGGUUGUUGCACCUGUGUGGGAGGGGAGAUUUUACUCUAGCCCAGCUGCCAGUGAGGCGGAGUUGAAUACAGGGAGCGGCUGAUUGGAGUUCCUCUUUAUAAAGGGGAGAGGAAGCAGGAAGUGUUGUUGUUGUUUUUAGUAGGACCUCGGUGAAGCAGGAGAGCCCCGGAGAUCCAGGACAAAGUGUGCGCAUUUUUAAUAGAAAGGAUUUUUUUUUAGCCUGGCCUGGUUUUUGCUUUUAACGAAACGGAGGACGUGGAAAGGAGGACGUAUUCCUAUGGAGCUGUGAGAGGACGUGCUGGAAAAGAGAGGACGUGCUGGAAAAAAAAGGGACGUGUUGGAAAAGAGGAAAACGAGCACUAGACUGGAGACCUCCUGCGCCCCGAUAAGAAGAACUGGACCAGCUCGGGGAAGUUUAACUGCCGGGAGGUAAUGUGGAGACCCAGCCUCGAACAAAGUUAAAGCCUGAAAAGGCGAAGAACUCGGGCCGCGGUGGUCUUUGGGCUUUGGAUCCCUGGCCGGGGUUGUCUUCAGCCGGUAGUUUGCCUAGAGGAAGAACAAAUAAAUUUUGUGUAACCCA